GGGGGCGACAGGCUUCGACGGGUGGUCGAAGGUGAGCGUUGCGUGUCGAGGGGGUCACCACCUCGUUAAUCCAGUGGCAAAUUGGUAGUGAUAACUGCCGAUGACAACUACGCACUCGCUGCCUAGCUGAAACUAGCGUUAGCGACACCCGUCCGUGACGUCUCCUAGCGGGUCGCGGGUGACAUCAGGAGGCUGGUCCCCGGUCGCUGACAGACCGUCCCGGGGGCGAGAACCAUGUCUGUCUGGGUGUGGCUUCUCCUGUCCUCGUGACUGGCCCCACCGAGAUUGAGCGAGGACUACGCACGUAGACGCGCUGACUGGAUGCCAUGCGGACGCGGGUUCGAUUCCCGCCGCCUCCACCA
rnacentral:tmRNA from 1 species